rnacentral:rRNA from 1 species
UACGGAAGGGGCAAGCGUUGUUCGGAAUCAUUGGGCGUAAAGGGCGUGUAGGUGGUUCUGUAUGUCUACCGUGAAAGCGUACGGCUCAACCGUAUUUAGUCGGUAGAAACUGCAGGACUUGAGGCUGGGAGGGGCUGGUGGAAUUCCCCGCGUAGCGGUGAAAUGCGUAGAGAUGGGGGAGAACACUCGUGGCGAAGGCGGCCAGCUAGACCAGUUCUGACACUGAGGCGCGAUAGCGUGGGGAGCAAACAGG